CCGUAGCCCAAGAGAUCGGGAUAACACCUGGAAACAGAUGCUAAUACCGGAUAACAACAGAUGAUGCCUAUCAACUGUUUAAAAGAUGGCUCUGCUAUCACUCUUGGAUGGACCUGCGGUGCAUUAGCUAGUUGGUAGGGUAACGGCCUACCAAGGCGAUGAUGCAUAGCCGAGUUGAGAGACUGAUCGGCCACAUUGGGACUGAGACACGGCCCAAACUCCUACGGGAGGCAGCAGGU
rnacentral:rRNA from 1 species